rnacentral:rRNA from 1 species
GCAGUAGCCGCGGGAAAACAGAGGGUGCGAGCGUUAAUCGGAUUUACUGGGCGUAAAGCGUGCGUAGGCGGCUUCUUAAGUCGGAUGUGAAAUCCCUGAGCUUAACUUAGGAAUUGCAUUCGAUACUGGGAAGCUAGAGUAUGGGAGAGGAUGGUAGAAUUCCAGGUGUAGCGGUGAAAUGCGUAGAGAUCUGGAGGAAUACCGAUGGCGAAGGCAGCCAUCUGGCCUAAUACUGACGCUGAGGUACGAAAGCAUGGGGAGCAAACAGGAUUAGAUACCCCAGUAGUCCCUGUCUCUUAUU